rnacentral:rRNA from 1 species
AUUGAACGCUGGCGGCAUGCUUUACACAUGCAAGUCGAACGGUAACAGGCCGCAAGGUGCUGACGAGUGGCGAACGGGUGAGUAAUGCAUCGGAACGUGCCCAGUCGUGGGGGAUAACUGCUCGAAAGAGCAGCUAAUACCGCAUACGAUCUAUGGAUGAAAGCGGGGGACCGUAAGGCCUCGCGCGAUUGGAGCGGCCGAUGUCAGAUUAGGUAGUUGGUGGGGUAAAGGCUCACCAAGCCAACGAUCUGUAGCUGGUCUGAGAGGACGACCAGCCACACUGGGACUGAGACACGGCCCAGACUCCUACGGGAGGCAGCAGUGGGGAAUUUUGGACAAUGGGGGCAACCCUGAUCCAGCAAUGCCGCGUGCAGGAAGAAGGCCUUAGGGUUGUAAACUGCUUUUGUACGGAACGAAACGGUCUGGGUUAAUACCCUGGGCUAAUGACGGUACCGUAAGAACAAGCACCGGCUAACUACGUGCCAGCCGCCGCCGUAAAAC